GUGAGUCAUCGAAUCUUUGAACGCACAUUGCGCCCAUUGGUAUUCCGAUGGGCAUGCCUGUUCGAGCGUCAUUAUCCUUCCUCAAACCUCGUGUUUGGUGUUGGACCGCGUUGGUCGAGCGACCAACUGGUCUCAAAGACAAUGACGGCGUCCGUGGGACCCUCGGUGCAACGAGCUUCUAAGGAGCACGCGUCGAGUUUCAAGGACCCUCCGGGCCGGUCUUAACCUUUAUCUUCUCAGGUUGACCUCGGAUCAGGUAGGAAUACCCGCUGAACUUAAGCAUAUCAAUAAGCGGAGGA
rnacentral:misc_RNA from 1 species